CAGUCGCCGCGGGAAUACGUAGGUGGCAAGCGUUGUCCGGAAUUAUUGGGCGUAAAGCGCGCGCAGGUGGUUUAAUAAGUCUGAUGUGAAAGUCCACGGCUCAACCGUGGAGGGUCAUUGGAAACUGUUAAACUUGAGUGCAGGAGAGAAAAGUGGAAUUCCUUGUGUAGCGGUGAAAUGCGUAGAGAUUAGGAGGAACACCAGUGGCGAAGGCGGCUUUUUGGCCUGUAACUGACACUGAGGCGCGAAAGCGUGGGGAGCAAACAGGAUUAGAUACCCGUGUAGUCCCUGUCUCUUAUAC
rnacentral:rRNA from 1 species